rnacentral:lncRNA from 1 species
GAAGUCGGUCAGGAGAGAAAUGUUCCAUGUGAACGGCAAUUGAAAGCGCAAUGGAGCACAGGCCACAGGACCUGGUCACAGAGCAUUAACUACACAUCGGCAUCAUGCGUCAUUAAAGAAAUGAGGUUUGCUUAUUGAGUGGCAAUCAGCGAGUAAAGGACAUCUGAAGGACAGCCAGGAUGAACGGGAGAGAUACAGAAAUGCACUUCCUCUACACAGUUUAUGCAGCUGUGUCAAAGGGAUAACCAGCUCUCUGAAGGGGUACAAAGGCUAGAAUCCACCUAGAGACUCCACUGUGCUCAGGUUUCCUCCGUUGCGCUCACUCCUGCGGCCACAUGCUGCCCAGACCCGGC